ensembl:lncRNA
GGAGGAGGAGAGCUCAGAUGUGAGUCUGACUCAGAGACUGUCUGAGGCUGAGGACAAGAUCAAGGCUCUACAUUCCUCUUUGGACACUGCACAGACUGAGCUGCGGGACCUACGAUGUAAAUACAAUGAGGAGAUCAGUAAAAAAGCCGAGGAGGUCCACAGCAUCAUGGCCGACCUGAAGACGGCGAACCAGAAAGCAGAAUGCGCUCAGAGAGAAGUGGAAAGGCUAAAGGAGCAGUUAUCCAGUAUCACUGACAGCUGUAAUCCUGCAGAGGGCGCCACCAGGGACAAAAGUGAGGACUCGGAGUUGUUGCCCUCUCAGUUGGAGGCCACACUCGUGGCCAAAGACCGUGAGAUCCUGCGCCUCCUCGAGAACAUCCAGAGACUGCAGUUCACACUCCAGGAAGUGCAGGAGAGCUCAGCC